GGCGAGGUAGCCAAGCGGUCUAAGGCGCUAGACUAAGGUGUCGAAUAGCAACUGAAAUCUAGUUCUUCGGAGCGCGGGUUCGAAUCCCGCCCUCGUCA
rnacentral:tRNA from 1 species